rnacentral:rRNA from 1 species
AAUCAACGCUGGCGGCGUGCCUAACACAUGCAAGUCGAACGCGAAAGUCCCGCAAGGGAUAAGUAGAGUGGCAAACGGGUGAGUAACGCGUGGGCGACCUACCUUCGAGUGGGGGAUAACCUUCCGAAAGGAGGGCUAAUACCGCACGACAUCCCGUGUUUGGAUACACGGACAUCAAAGCCGGGGAUCGCAAGACCUGGCGCUUGGAGAGGGGCCCGCGUCCGAUUAGCUAGUUGGUGAGGUAACGGCUCACCAAGGCUCCGAUCGGUAUCCGGCCUGAGAGGGCGGACGGACACACUGGGACUGAGACACGGCCCAGACUCCUACGGGAGGCAGCAGUGGGGAAUUGUUCGCAAUGGGCGCAAGCCUGACGACGCAACGCCGCGUGGAGGAUGAAGGAUUUCGGUCCGUAAACUCCUUUCGACCGAGAUGAAUUCUCGCCGACCUAACACGUC